UACGGAGGGGGCUAGCGUUGUUCGGAAUUACUGGGCGUAAAGCGUACGUAGGCGGCUUUGUAAGUUAGAGGUGAAAGCCCGGGGCUCAACUCCGGAAUUGCCUUUAAGACUGCAUCGCUAGAAUCAUGGAGAGGUGAGUGGAAUUCCGAGUGUAGAGGUGAAAUUCGUAGAUAUUCGGAAGAACACCAGUGGCGAAGGCGGUUCUCUGGGCAUGACCUGACGCUGAGGAGCGAAAGUGUGGGGAGCGAACAGG
rnacentral:rRNA from 1 species